UUUUUUUUUUUUUUUUUUUUUUUUUUUUUCUUCCG
rnacentral:ribozyme from 13 species